UGGACAUGGGGGGAACCCUGAUCCAGCCAUGCCGCGUGUGUGAAGAAGGCCUUAUGGUUGUAAAGCACUUUAAGCGAGGAGGAGGAGCUCUAGGUUAAUACCUUAGAAGCUUGGACGUUACUCGCAGAAUAAGCACCGGCUAACUCUGUGCCAGCAGCCGCGGUAAUACAGAGGGUGCGAGCGUUAAUCGGAUUUACUGGGCGUAAAGCGUACGUAGGCGGCUUUUUAAGUCGGAUGUGAAAUCCCUGAGCUUAACUUAGGAAUUGCAUUCGAUACUGGGAAGCUAGAGUAUGGGAGAGGAUGGUAGAAUUCCAGGUGUAGCGGUGAAAUGCGUAGAGAUCUGGAGGAAUACCGAUGGCGAAGGCAGCCAUCUGGCCUAAUACUGACGCUGAGGUACGAAAGCAUGGGGAGCAAACAGGAUUAGAUACCCUGGUAGUCCAUGCCGUAAACGAUGUCUACUAGCCGUUGGGGCCUUUGAGGCUUUAGUGGCGCAGCUAACGCGAUAAGUAGACCGCCUGGGGAGUACGGUCGCAAGACUAGAACUCAAAUGAAUUGACNGGGGCCCGCACAAGCGGUGGAGCAUGUGGUUUAAUUCGAUGCAACGCGAAGA
rnacentral:rRNA from 1 species